rnacentral:lncRNA from 7 species
CAACACACACAGAUAGUCUAUCAAAUGCAUGAAGAGCUGCUCCCCGUGACCAUGGAGAACAAAGAAUUAGAGGCAUUGUCUCUCAAAACAAGCAAAAUGGACAACUAGUCAAGCAUCUCAGUAACUGCAACUAAAUGCAAUGACUUUCAACAUUUUUGGAACAGGAUUCCCUGCUGACAUUCUUCCUGAGUCCUAUUCCUUCAGUUCUUGAUGGUGGUAAAAGCAGCAGCACCAGUAUUGCUUGGGAUGCAAGUUGCAGGGGUCAAGGGAGUUACUGUUCUGAGUUCUGCUGGAAUCAGUCUUGCCAAAGGAAAAUAAAUAAAAAAAAAAAAUCAGUCUGACUAGCAUGUAGCUACUGCUGCUUUCCUGACAGGUGAGGUGGGAAUAAUGAAGAAAUAAGUGCAGCCACUGAGUCUCUAGGAACCACUGACUUGGGGAGCGAGCACUAAACUAGGUCUCUGUCAGUGAGUUUCUACUCCCACUUUGCCAACUAGAAUAUGUUCUGGGCCCCAUUUUUUAAUCUCCUAGAAUAACACUGACCUUUAUAAAAAGCAUUAAUCUCUGCCAAUGGAGAGUACAUAGAGAUUUCUCUCACUCAUGCUAUCAAUAUUGUGUGAUGAAGAGCAGAGAAAAAGGUGAUAAUCACUUUAGAAACUCAGAAAAAACAUUUGGUGUAUUUAGCUCUGUGGAGAAGCAUGUAGGUUUGCUGGACAAAUUCUUUUGAACCAACAUACUAUGCUUUUUUUUUUCCAAGAAAGUAAACAAAAAGCAAUUGAC